rnacentral:rRNA from 1 species
UACGGAGGGUGCAAGCGUUAUCCGGAUUCACUGGGUUUAAAGGGUGCGUAGGCGGGUUGGUAAGUCCGUGGUGAAAUCUCCGAGCUAAACUCGGAAACUGCCGUGGAUACUAUCAAUCUUGAAUAUCGUGGAGGUAAGCGGAAUAUGCCAUGUAGCGGUGAAAUGCUUAGAGAUGACAUAGAACACCAAUUGCGUAGGCAGCUUACUACACGAUCAUUGACGCUGAGGCACGAAAGCGUGGGGAGCAAACAGG